CUCGCUGACUCGCUCCUUAUCCGUUCAGUGUUUGUCUCAUCCCCAUCGGCCAUCGUUGGGCGGAGGCAUCGCCAUGGCUUGCCGUCCCACCCCCAAGAGCAGUGAGCAUGAGGUCGUGGGCUCAUGGCGGCCUGCUUUCCUUCCCCUCUCCCCUCCUUCAUCCUUCCAUUCCACGCCCCAUGGAGGUCAUGGGCGAGCACUCCUCCAACUUCUCCAGUCUCCACAUCGGCUGCCCACCCCCAUUGCCUCCGCUCUCCGCUUGCCCUCCCUUCACCUCUCCUCUCCACUUCCUAGCGAGUCGGCGUCCGGUGACUCCUCAACCUCCGUGCCGCCAGCAUGGACUUGCAGGCACAGUUGAUGGAGGAAGGAAGUCACCGACAAUCCCUUUUCCCAUUCCUGCUUGCCUCUUUCUCUCAUCAGGAUUUGAUGUUUCCGCAUCUGAUUUUGGUUGUUGAAAUAAUCAAUUUGAGAUAUUUCAAUGGGGAUUGCGAUGCUAUUAGAACUACGUAUUUUUAGCAUUUUUUCGAUUUUUACAUCAUUUGGGUUGUUCAGAUUGUAUCCUUUUCAUGUUGCAAUGAUAGUACGUGCAACAUCAAAUUUUCUUUUAAUCUUAUUUUUGUUGUUUGGUUUUCUCUCCCAUUAGAUGGUAGUGAGCUAUUUUUUUUGCAUAUUUUUUGAUGUUACAAAUUAUGUUUUGACGUGUUGUGGAAGAAUUUUUCUCUGGUGUUGCAUACAAUAUUUCUAUAUGUUACAGGAGAUCGCUCGGUGAAAAAUAUUUGAAUGUUUUAUGCUGUUGCAGCGGACGUUUUGGAGGAAAACUACCGUCGGCGCUAGCAAGUCCCUACAAGGUGAGGCUGGGGACCCAGGGUCAACAUUCAACAACGCGUUUUGAGCAACAUCUAUUUACAUUAGUUAUAAGUUAUAUGAACAUCAUGAGACCUUAUCUGCACUGGCACAGGAAGCGUCCUUAUCUGGCGGCAGUUCCAAUAUUUUGCAGAUAGCAGCUGGAUCCUGGCUCUAUACAAGAUAAGCGAAUCCAUCUCUAGUUGCUUUGAUGCAUGGUGCAGUCGCAGGAUGAAGGUCAAGGAACGAGCAAGCAGCCACUUGAAUUUGUUCAGCUUGUUGAAGCAGCUGUGUUGAAAAUGCUCACUUUUGUUGACGCCAUUAUUGCUGCUGCCGCGAGAACCAACGACAGGUCGGGGGCAAUGGCACUAGCUGAUGAGAAGCUCUGGGUACUGAUAGAGGUGCAUGACGCUCUAUCUAUGGCCUUAGAACAUAUCAUGUCACCGUCCCUUUCUUCACCCUUUGGGGAAUCCACUGAAGGUACGAUGAGAAAUCUCUUGUCAGCAGACCUGGCCAAGUUAGAUGAGGCCAUAUGGGACACAAUUGUUGAGAUCCGGAACAGUAUCCUGGCCUGGAUGGACGACGAUGGUAUCCACCCUUACGGCUCAAGCGACAUUCACAAGAUAUCAUGUAUUCAGUAACAAGGUGCACCAACAUUCUGUCGUCCAAUGACAAGUCAGUUAAUCGCAUUUUACAUGACGCAUUUCUCCGCGUUAAGUAUGUGCCUGAGAAUGAAAAUGUGAGCCUCUUGAGCAGCCUCAUCAUAGAGUUGGCACGUUCACUAGAGGAAAAGCUUGCCAUAAUGUCCAGGUCCUGGUUCUCAGAUCAGAGCCUCAGGUUCCUAUUCUUGAUCAACAACUCUGACUUCAUAAUGCAGCAGCUUCACAGGCACUUGUGUUUUCCAUUGCUAACCCUCAGCCACAAAACUGACGGCUACAUAAAUAGUUAUCUCCAAGUGUCUUGGGCACCGGUGUUGAAAUGCUUGCAGGAUCCUGCUACACCUCAUUGCUUCACUCGAUGCUCACCGCUCACGAAAUUCAAAUCAAAGUUUCAUAAGACCUACACCGUGCAAAAGCUCUGGAAGGUACCAGAUCCUGAUAUGAGAAAAAGGCUGCGGAAAGCCAUCAUCGAGAAAGUCAUCCCGGUCUUUACACAAUUCUUGGAGGAUAACAGCAUCAGCACCCUAAAAGUCACUACUCCCAGGAAGGUAGAGGAGAUGUUGGCAGAUCUAUUCGAAGGAUAAACUAGUGCGCGUACCAUAGAAGAAACAUGUACGUAGAGAAGAGCAGUUAGUAGUUCUGCUUUCAUCUCAGUUUGAAACAAAAGGUUGCUCAUGGAACGGAUUGAACUUUCUGAAGCUCUGUGUGAAGCAAAAAGAAAAAAGAAAAAACAAAUAAAUCCCGCAGCACUACAAGUUUGUCUUUGAUGUUGUACAAUAUAUAGUCGGGUUUUCAGAAUGUACAGCUGGGAGCUGCUCUUGAUCCUUUGCCUAGUACUGACAGACAUCAUAUUCUUUUCUGUCUUUGCAAUGGAUCGGACUUGUCUCAUGUAUUUAUGAAAAUGACUAGCUGUUUGUCUUUUGUUUUUACAGUA